AACGAACGCUGGCGGCAGGCUUAACACAUGCAAGUCGAGCGCCCAGCAAGGGGAGCGGCAGACGGGUGAGUAACGCGUGGGAACGUACCCUUUACUACGGAAUAACGCAGGGAAACUUGUGCUAAUACCGUAUGUGCCCUUUGGGGGAAAGAUUUAUCGGUAAAGGAUCGGACCGCGUUGGAUUAGCUAGUUGGUGGGGUAAAGGCCUACCAAGGCAACGAUCCAUAGCUGGUCUGAGAGGAUGAUCAGCCACAUUGGGACUGAGACACGGCCCAAACUCCUACGGGAGGCAGCAGUGGGGAAUAUUGGACAAUGGGCGCAAGCCUGAUCCAGCCAUGCCGCGUGAGUGAUGAAGGCCUUAGGGUUGUAAAGCUCUUUCACCGGGGAAGAUAAUGACGGUACCCGGAGAAGAAGCCCCGGCUAACUUCGUGCCAGCCGCCGCCGUAA
rnacentral:rRNA from 1 species